rnacentral:lncRNA from 1 species
AUGGGAGGUGGAAGCAGUGUCUGCUUUGAGAAUGUAGGAGAAAAAUCUGGGAGUGCUUGGCUCAUCUUUUUGGAUUGCCUCUCAUCCGUCAGCCUAAGGUUGGAAUCUAAGAGAGAAAAAGAAAAAAGAAAAGUUUACCAUUCAUAAUCUCAAACAGCAAAUAUAAAUCCUGACGGACAACACUCAGUUCAAGGAAAAUUUCUG